rnacentral:rRNA from 1 species
GCAAGUCGAGGGGCAGCAUUUCCAGCUUGCUGGAAGAUGGCGACCGGCGCACGGGUGAGUAACGCGUAUGCAACCUACCUUACAUUGGGGGAUAGCCCAGAGAAAUCUGGAUUAAUACCGCAUAAUAUAUUUGAAUCGCAUGGUUUAAAUAUUAAAACUCCGGUGAUGUAAGAUGGGCAUGCGUAGCAUUAGUUAGUUGGUAAGGUAACGGCUUACCAAGACAUCGAUGUCUAGGGGUUCUGAGAGGAUUGUC